rnacentral:rRNA from 1 species
UUCCAGACUCCUACGGGAGGCAGCAGUGAGGAAUAUUGGUCAAUGGGCGGGAGCCUGAACCAGCCAAGCCGCGUGAAGGAAGAAGGCGCCAGGCGUCGUAAACUUCUUUUGUCGGGGAACAAAGGGCGCCACGCGUGGCGUUGUGAGUGUACCCGAAGAAAAAGCAUCGGCUAACUCCGUGCCAGCAGCCGCGGUAAUACGGAGGAUGCGAGCGUUAUCCGGAUUUAUUGGGUUUAAAGGGUGCGUAGGCGGAAUGCCAAGUCAGCGGUAAAAUCGCGGGGCUCAACCUCGCUCCGCCGUUGAAACUGGCGUUCUUGAGUGGGCGAGAAGUAUGCGGAAUGCGUGGUGUAGCGGUGAAAUGCAUAGAUAUCACGCAGAACUCCGAUUGCGAAGGCAGCAUACCGGCGCCCAACUGACGCUGAAGCACGAAAGCGUGGGUAUCGAACAGGAUUAGAUACCCGUGUAC